UGUCCUGGGAAUUGGGUUCUCUCACAACGUCUUUCUGAAUUAUCACUUUGUAUUGAGGCAAGAGUUUAAUCUUUCAAGAGGCCAGUGGUUCUGAGGGCAGAGGGGAAGGCUGGUGCUACCCUUGGGCAUGGGAGAAGCAUUAAGAUCAAGAACACAGCUACUGCAGCCAGGCUGCCUGGAUCUGAAAUUGGUUCUGCCACCAGUGGAAGAUGGAAGUUGAAGAAUGCCGUGGAAAGAAGAUGAAAUGGGCAAUGGUGUAUCCAUUAGUCCUAGAUCCAGGGAACCGUCUUUGUAAGUAGACCUGCCUUCAAAUGUCCCACAGAGUCUGCGGAGUUUGCAGAACAACUUAAGAGCACUCCAAACCAGAGUCAGAGACAUCCCUGCCACGCGGCUAAUAGAUUUAUAACUCUGGGCAAAGGUUUCAACAAAUACGAUUUCUUCACUCCAAAGUCCACCUAUGUGUGUUCCCUGAAAUAAAGAACAGUGCAUUUCUGUCUGCUGGUCUCUAAUCCCAGAAGCCUCGGCAGCAGAGCCCGGAGUAGAUCCAAAAAUGUCUUUUUAUAGCUCUGGAGACCAUGACUGGCUCAAACAGGAUGACGCUCUGUGGGGUCACCCAUGGACUUCAUUGUUUUCUUUUUUUCAAACUGACAUAGUGUCUGCAGAGAAAAGACUACCCAGGUAGUCCAGAAAAAAAGAGACUAUGUUGUGACUUAAGUGGUAGAAAUGGAAAGAUCCUAACAUGGAGCAUUGGUGAAAACACACUUCUUAUCCAGGCAAUUGAUUAGAAUGUUGCAAUUGAAAAGUUUUACUCAGAGAAAGAAAAUGAGUAAAAAACAAAGUAAAUGAACAAAAAGGAGAAGAUCUGGGAUUAGGUCUGAUGAUCUAGAACAUACAAGGAACAUAAUUCAGUUUCUGAUUCUUUAUCUGGGAUCUUGGAACAUGAUCUGGGGCAUAAAUCAGAAUCUUCAAUGGCUGUAUUACCAUGCCUGCCGCACACCCUUCCCAUGAAGAUAGGCAACAGGGAAGGUGCUUGAAUUCUAUCAGACCCAUGGGUGUCCCCAAGCAAUUUGUUUCUUUAGCAUCUCACAUGAACAUGGCUGAAAUCACAGAUAAAGCUCAGCUGGGGCUGGACUGGGGGAGCGCUCCAUGUGACAGUGCUAUUCUGAAAAACAUCUGACUUGAAGCCAAGUGACACUAAACCCACUUUAGUGAGUGUUUUGGUAUAAGGUGUCUAUUCCAGAGCCCAGCCCGAAUACUAGUGGAACCGAGUAUCGUAUGACAAUCUGAUUUACCACAAAGUCUUGUGGCAGAUUCCGCAGGUAUGGUGUGAACAUUUGAAUGAUCUUAUCUGGGAAGGAGCCAAGUGGUCUACGGAACAUCUGAAAAUGAAACAAUACCCUGCAGAGAAGCUGUGCCUGCCUUAGAAACUCUGAUAAAAAGUCCCUGAAACUUGAAAACCACACAAACAUUGUCUUGGUUCUUGAGAAGUUCAUUGUCUAGUGGGGAAAGCAGAUAAAAAAUGACAAUCUUAAAAUUAUUUAAGUGCUAUACUAAGAGUAUAUCCAGGGUGCUGUCAGAACACAGAAGAGGGACACCUCGUCCAGCCAGCCAGUGAGGGCCAGGGAAGGCUGCCACGAUAGCUAGUUAUAAGAAAUUGAGAGUACAGUUGGGACAUCUUGUCUUGAAGAUGACAUUAGCUUUCCAAAUACAUCAGACUCAUCCCAGAACCAAAGGAUUUAGCUUUUCUCAUAAAAUCUGUAUGUAUUUAUUCAUCUGCAUCCUCAAUGAAUGGGAGAAUGGUCAGAAAUAUGUCAUUGCUCAGACACAGAAUGACUGAAGAGCUUUGAACCUUGACCUGAAAAGGAGUGUACUCUCCUACUCUGUCUCUCUGAGAACCUGCUAUUGCCAUGUGUACAAGUCCGUACUAGCCUGCUGUAUGAUGGAGACCAUGAGGGAAGAGCUGAGCCAAAAGCCAAAGCCCCAAAUAUGUGAGAGAACAAGGCCAACCCACAGAUGACCUACCAGAGGACCCCAUCCAUGUGAGAGGGCCUAGAAGAAUUGAGAUGACCUGUAGACUCUGGAAUCCAGACUUGCUCAUUUUUUUAUUUGGUUGUAUGUUACACAGCAUUAUUGUGGCAAUAGAUAACUGAUACAUAUAAUAUACAUCUUAUCUCUUCAAAUGCAA